rnacentral:rRNA from 1 species
UACAGAGGGGGCAAGCGUUGUUCGGAAUUACUGGGCGUAAAGGGCGCGUAGGCGGCCUGUUAAGUCGAACGUGAAAUCCCCGGGCUCAACCCGGGAACUGCGUCCGAUACUGGCAGGCUUGAAUUCGGGAGAGGGAUGCGGAAUUCCAGGUGUAGCGGUGAAAUGCGUAGAUAUCAGGAGGAACACCGAUGGCGAAGGCAGCUCGCUGGGACGGUACUGACGCUGAGGCGCGAAAGCGUGGGGAGCAAACAGG